ACGACGAUGGGUGUCGUACACUUACAUGAAACCUUAUAGGGACCAUCAAAAUAUAUGUUAAAUAUGAAAUGCAUGGUGUAUUAAAUAUUUGAAUUUAAGUCAAUUUAGUAGCGUUUUUAAGUGUGAGAGCUCAACCCAGUCAAACAUUCUGAAGCUGCACACAGGAGAAGUGAAGAGGGGUAUUGCAUCUCCUCGGUAUAGUUCCGGGCACUUCUAGAAUCCGUACUGAGAGGAGGGCACAGUCUCAGUCUCAGAGACGUGACCUGCACCCCCACUUCCUCGAGCUCUCGCACUCACAGUGCCAGCCAGCAGCCCUCCUUCCCCCUGCGGUCCCCUUCUGGCUGCCCUUAUCCCGCAGUACUGAAUCACACCGGAGGGAUUUCCUACAGCUCCAGCUCUCAACGAGCCCAGAGAAAUGACAAGGUACCUUCCUGAGGCUUGGUGCCUUUUCACGACAUAAUGAGGAUCAGAGCUUCUGCAGCAAGGUACCACUGUUCCCCAUAAGUAAAAUAAAUACUCUUUUUACAGUA